GCUGGUCCUGCCUGGCUUUGUGCUCAACAAGCAGGGACUUAACAGAGUGCAAACAUGAGUGCACGUUUGCAGUGAAUAUGAUCACAUUCGUCAUGGGGAGCUGUAUGUGUACAGAACGCAUCUUGCUGGGUGUGAUGGUGCACACCUGUACUCCCAGGCUUCAGGAGGCUGAAGCAGGAGCAUUGCUGAAAGUUCAAGUUGCCUCUCAGCAGUGUCCUGAGUUCCUGGCUGGCCUGCAGGACAGCGACUCCGAGCCUUCAUUGUGCCAUCCAGAGCUUCAAAUGGAACCAAGCCCAUCCUUAGCCUCUUGGGUGUUUUACUACAGACUUAGGAUGGGCUGUUAGCAGGGACAAGCUGGUCGGUCGUGUGGAAUAACGGACCCAGUAUGGCAAGGCAGGUUUCAGGGUCUUCUCACCACACGUUGCUCACCCUGCACUUCUCACACGGCCAACUAUUUACCGGGCAUCAGCUCCCCCCUGCUGGAUCGCCUAUAGCACCCCGGACCCUAGCUCAUGGGAGGAAGCCAGGUGAGGGGCCCAGCUGGCUUCCGCAACAGCUCCUUUUCAUUCCGCGUGUUCGUCUGCCUGUGGGAACCAGUGACUGAGAAAUAAAACAUUUAUCAUUCAUCACUUGUGAG